GGGCGUAAAGCGAGUGUAGGCGGUUUGGCAAGUCGGAUGUGAAAGCCCAGGGCCCAACCCUGGAAUUGCAUCCGAUACUGUCAGGCUAGAGUCCCGGAGAGGGUGGCGGAAUUCCCGGUGUAGGGGUGAAAUCCGUAGAUAUCGGGAGGAACACCAGUGGCGAAGGCGGCCACCUGGACGGUGACUGACGCUGAGACUCGAAAGCGUGGGUAGCAAACAGGAUUAGAUACCCUGGUAGUCCACGCCGUAAACGGUGAGUGCUCGUCGUCGUGGGUAUUGACCCCUGCGGUGACCAAGUUAACGCAUGAAGCACUCCGCCUGGGAAGUACGGUCGCAAGACUAAAACUCAAAGAAAUUGACGGGGGCCCGCACAAGCGGUGGAGCAUGUUGUUUAAUUCGAAGCAACGCGCAGAACCUUACCUGGAUUUGACAUCCUCGGAAUCUCUCUGAAAGGAGAGAGUGCCUUCGGGAGCCGAGAGACAGGUGCUGCAUGGCUGUCGUCAGCUCGUGUCGUGAGGUGUUGGGUUAAGUCCCGCAACGAGCGCAACCCCUAUCGUUAGUUGCUAGCAGUUCGGCUGAGCACUCUAGCGAGACUGCCGGUGUUAAACCGGAGGAAGGUGGGGAUGACGUCAAGUCCUCAUGGCCUUUAUGUCCAGGGCUACUAACGUGCUACAAUGGUCGGUACAGACGGUCGCGAACCCGCGAGGGCAAGCCAAUCCUAAAAAGCCGGCCUCAGUUCGGAUUGGAGUCUGCAAUUCGACUCCAUGAAGGCGGAAUCGCUAGUAAUCGCA
rnacentral:rRNA from 1 species